rnacentral:rRNA from 1 species
CCUACGGGGCGCAGCAGUGGGGGAUAUUGCACAAUGGGGGGAACCCUGAUGCAGCGACGCCGCGUGGGUGAAGAAGCGCCUCGGCGCGUAAAGCCCUGUCAGCAGGGAAGAAAAUGACGGUACCUGAAGAAGAAGCCCCGGCUAACUACGUGCCAGCAGCCGCGGUAAUACGUAGGGGGCAAGCGUUAUCCGGAUUUACUGGGUGUAAAGGGGGCGCAGACGGCGAUGCAAGCCAGGAGUGAAAGCCCGGGGCCCAACCCCGGGACUGCUGUGGGAACUGCGUGGCUGGAGUGCAGGAGGGGCAGGCGGAAGUCCGGGGGUAGGGGGGGAAUGGGUAGAUAUCAGGAGGAAGACAGGUGGCGAAGGCGGCCUGCUGGACUGCAACUGACGUUGAGGCCCGAAAGCGUGGGGAGCAAACAGGAUUAGAUAACCGAGUAGUC